AUUGAACGCUGGCGGCAGGCCUAACACAUGCAAGUCGAACGAGUGGCGGACGGGUGAGUAAUGUCUGGGAAACUGCCCGAUGGAGGGGGAUAACUACUGGAAACGGUAGCUAAUACCGCAUACCAUCGGAUGUGCCCAGAUGGGAUUAGCUAGUAGGGGGGGUAAUGGCUCACCUAGGCGACGAUCCCCAGCUGGCCUGCGAGGAUGACCAGCCAGACUGGAACUGUGUGACGGUCCAGACUCCUACGGGAGGCAGCAGUGGGGAUUAUUGCAAAAUGGGCGCAGGCCUGAUGCAGCCGUGCCGCGUGUAUGAAGAAGGCCUUCGGGUUGUAAAGUACUUUCAGCGGGGAGGCGUUACCCGCAGAAGAAGCACCGGCUAACUCCGUGCCAGCAGCCGCGGUAAUAC
rnacentral:rRNA from 1 species